AUGGCAGGGAAAAACGCUGACAUGGCAGUGAAUUCUGCUGCUGUAGUAGCGCCACAACUGUGUGCUAAAACUUGGUGCAUAGGUGCUGGAACGCCAAUUCCUUGUGAUCUCAGUGCCUCUCCAGUGACUCCUGGACACGCACCGGUGACACCGGGAACGCCCUGGACAGAACCCUCCGAGGGACCGCAGGGAAAGCGAUUCUUGGAGGAACUCUAUGAGGAAACGGUGCCGGUCAAGGCAGCUGAUGCAGGUUUGUGUCUGUAUGCGUUGGAAGAACCAGCAAAUCACCUUGAAGCAAUGAAGGAGACCUGCUGGCAGAGAGCCAUGAAAGAAGAACUGAGCUCGAUAGAAUCCAAUGGAACUUGGGAGCUGUGUGAGCUGCCGAAAGGUCAUAACCCCAUUGGGUUGAAAUGGGUUUACAAGCUAAAGAAAGAUGCUAGCGGGGAUGUGAUCAAACACAAGGCGAGGUUAGUCGCUAAAGGGUACGUGCAACGACAAGGCAUUGAUUUUGAAGAAGUUUUUGCUCCAGUGGCACGCAUCGAGUCAGUAAGAUUGUUGGUCGCCCUUGCUGCCCAGUUCAGUUGGAAGAUGCAUCAUAUGGACGUAAAGUCUGCAUUUUUACAUGGUGACUUAGUUGAGGAGGUCUAUGUGAGUCAGCCGCCUGGUUUUGAGGUUGCUCGGAGUGACAGCAAGGUGUACAAGCUGCAUAAGGCUCUCUAUGGACUUCAUCAGGCUCCAAGGGCAUUUAACUGCAAACUUGAUGCAACUUUGAUAGAACUUGGCUUUGAAAAAUGCCCCUCAGAUUCAGGACUCUACAGGAAAAAAGAAGGGGAGUCGGUGCUGAUUGUGGGAGUUUAUGUGGAUGACUUGAUCAUCACAGGUGGCAGUGAUCGUGUCAUAGCAGAUUUCAAAAAACAAAUGAAGUCCAAAUUCAGUAUGAGUGACUUGGGGCUGCUGAGUUACUACUUGGGAAUCGAGGUGGAGCAAUCAGCGGAUGGAAUCACUCUGAGCCAAUCCGCGUAUGCUGCUCGGAUCCUUGAGAAAAUGGGAAUGUCAAAUUGUAACUCAGCUCACACACCCAUGGAGCCCAGACUAAAACUUAGCAAAGAAAGUCAAGCUGAAGCCGUGGAUCCUACAAAGUACAGAAGUGUGGUUGGUAGUCUGAGGUAUCUCCUCCACACUCGGCCGGAUCUUAGUUUUUCAGUUGGGUUUGUGAGCAGAUUUAUGGAAAGGCCUACAGUGGAGCACAUGGUGGCCGUUAAGCAUAUCCUCAAGUAUAUAAAAGGGACACUAGACCUCGGUUGCAGCUACAAGAGGGGCAGAGUAAAUGGUCCUUGGCUGCUGGGCUAUUGUGAUAGUGAUUUGGCAGGAGACAUCGAUGAUCGAAAAAGUACUUCAGGGGUAUUGUUCUAUUUUGGGGGGUGCCCUGUAACCUGGAGCUCCCAAAAGCAAAAAAUUGUUGCUCAGUCAUCGUGCGAAGCCGAGUAUGUGGCUGCAGCCUCUGCUGCUGGUCAAGCCGUGUGGUUGGCAAGGUUGGUAGGAGAACUACUUGAUCAAGAGACAGAAAGAGCAGUGAUCAGAGUUGACAAUCAAUCAGCUAUCGCCCUAUGCAAGAAUCCUGUAUUCCAUGAAAGAACUAAGCACAUUGAUGUGCGAUACCAUUUCGUGAGGCACUGUGUUGAAGAUGGCACUAUCGCCGUGGAACAUGUGAGGACUGAAGAACAACAUGCUGACAUUUUAACGAAGGCACUACCCAGAGUUCGCUUUCAAGAGUUGAAGAAGAAGAUUGGCAUGCUACUGGUCAAGUCAGUGCAUCUGGUUUAA
rnacentral:rRNA from 1 species